rnacentral:rRNA from 1 species
GCAGCUGGAUCAUUACA